CGUGGGGCAGCAUGUCCCGCAGCAAUGCGGGAUGAUGGCGACCGGCAAACGGGUGCGGAACACGUACACAACCUUCCUUUAAGUGGGGGAUAGCCCAGGGAAACUUGGAUUAAUACCCCGUAAUAUAUAGAAGCGGCAUCGCUUUUAUAUUAUAGCAGCAAUGCGCUUGAAGAUGGGUGUGCGGCUGAUUAGAUAGUUGGCGGGGUAACGGCCCACCAAGUCGACGAUCAGUAACUGGUGUGAGAGCACGACCAGUCACACGGGCACUGAGACACGGGCCCGACUCCUACGGGAGGCAGCAGUAAGGAAUAUUGGUCAAUGGACGCAAGUCUGAACCAGCCAUGCCGCGUGGAGGAUGAAGGUCCUCUGGAUUGUAAACUUCUUUUAUCUGGGAAGAAAUCCAUUUUUUCUAAAGUGGUUGACGGUACCAGAUGAAUAAGCACCGGCUAACUCCGUGCCAGCAGCCGCGGUAAUACGGAGGGUGCAAGCGUUAUCCGGAUUCACUGGGUUUAAAGGGUGCGUAGGUGGGCAAGUAAGUCAGUGGUGAAAUCUCCGGGCUUAACCCGGAAACUGCCAUUGAUACUAUUUGUCUUGAAUACUGUGGAGGUCAGCGGAUUAUGUCAUGUAGCGGUGAAAUUGCUUAGAUAUGACAUAAAACACCAAUUGCGAAGGCAGCUGGGCUACACAAUAUUUGACACUGAGGCACGAAGGCGGUGGGGAUCAAACAGGAUUAGAUACCCUGGGUAGUCCACGCCCUAACUAUGGAU
rnacentral:rRNA from 1 species